rnacentral:rRNA from 1 species
AUUGAACGCUGGCGGCAUGCCUUACACAUGCAAGUCGAACGGCAGCACGGGAGCAAUCCUGGUGGCGAGUGGCGAACGGGUGAGUAAAGUAUCGGAACGUGCCCAGUCGUGGGGGAUAACGUAGCGAAAGUUACGCUAAUACCGCAUACGAUCUAUGGAUGAAAGCGGGGGAUCGCAAGACCUCGCGCGAUUGGAGCGGCCGAUAUCAGAUUAGGUAGUUGGUGGGGUAAAGGCUCACCAAGCCGACGAUCUGUAGCUGGUCUGAGAGGACGACCAGCACCACUGGGACUGAGACACGGCCCAGACUCCUACGGGAGGCAGCAGUGGGGAAUUUUGGACAAUGGGCGAAAGCCUGAUCCAGCCAUGCCGCGUGCAGGGUGAAGGCCUUCGGGUUGUAAACUGCUUUUGUACGGAACGAAAAGGUUUGGCCUAAUAAGCUGAGCUCAUGACGGUACCGUAAGAAUAAGCACCGGCUAACUACGUGCCAGCAGCCGCGGUAA